GAUGAACGCUGGCGGCGUGCCUAAUACAUGCAAGUAGAACGCUAAAGGAGGAGCUUGCUCUUCUGGAUGAGUUGCGAACGGGUGAGUAACGCGUAGGUAACCUGCCUGGUAGCGGGGGAUAACUAUUGGAAACGAUAGCUAAUACCGCAUGACAACAGUUAUUGCAUGAUAACUGUUUAAAAGGGGCAACUGCUCCACUACCAGAUGGACCUGCGUUGUAUUAGCUAGUUGGUGAGGUAACGGCUCACCAAGGCGACGAUACAUAGCCGACCUGAGAGGGUGAUCGGCCCACAUUGGACUGGGACACGGCCCAGACUCCUACGGGAGGCAGCAGGAGGGAAUCUUCGGCAAUGGACGGAAGGCUGACCGAGCAACGCCGCGGGAGUGAAGAAGGGUCUCGGGUCGGAAAGCUCGUUUGUAAGAGAAGAACGAGUGUGAGAGUGGAAAGUUCACACUGUGACGGUAUCUUACCAGAAAGGGACGGCUAACUACGUG
rnacentral:rRNA from 1 species